rnacentral:rRNA from 1 species
ACAGCAGUAGCCGCGGGAAUACAGAGGGUGCGAGCGUUAAUCGGAUUUACUGGGCGUAAAGCGUGCGUAGGCGGCUUCUUAAGUCGGAUGUGAAAUCCCUGAGCUUAACUUAGGAAUUGCAUUCGAUACUGGGAAGCUAGAGUAUGGGAGAGGAUGGUAGAAUUCCAGGUGUAGCGGUGAAAUGCGUAGAGAUCUGGAGGAAUACCGAUGGCGAAGGCAGCCAUCUGGCCUAAUACUGACGCUGAGGUACGAAAGCAUGGGGAGCAAACAGGAUUAGAGACCCCGGUAGUCCCUGUCUCUUAUAC